AAAAUAAGUUUUCUCCAUAUAUAUACAAUAAUUGUUCUAAUAAUUGUUCUUUAUGCUAUAUCUGAGAUGUUUAAUACCAAUACAUAUAUCAUAAAUGUAUAUAUGAAUUUCAAAAAAUAGGGGGAAUAUAAAAGAUAAGUAUUACGGAGUACAAUAAUUGUUGAUAAAAUUAUCUAUCAAAUUACUUCAUUGUGAGAAUAAAUUGCCUGAGAAGCUGGACAAUAAAUAUCAAUAGUUCUAUGAACAUAAGUGAUCUCCCUACAUGCAAUUAAUAGGAAAUUUCAUACUGCCAGCAAAUUUCAUACUGUCAGCAAAAGUGAUCUCCCUACUUUUUAUUGUAAUGAUAGUCACACUGAAGAGGCAUACUUUUGUACACAUACACUUCCGACUCAAAAUGGAUUAAAAUAAUGUAAACAAUGUCUUUGAGAUCAGUUAAAAAACAUAUGAAAUAUAGCUGUAUGUAAGUUUACCUUUAUUUGAAUGGUCAUAUUUUCUCUUGGAACCAAUAAUUGUUGAAUGCUCUAACUUCAUUAUUUUCUUCCAAAUUGUUGCUUAGAAUCUACAUUUGAAUGGUGAAAGUGAAUUUGAAGAAAGAUUUCCUUACUCCCUUCAAAGAAUUGGCAAUUUAUAUUAGAUUAAAUGCAUUGGUAAUGGUAGUAUAAUAAUUACUAAUACUGUUGUACUCAAAAGUAUUCCCUAUUUUAUUGGGAAUAAGAGUGGUCUGCAUUUUUCAUUUCAAUGUAAAAUUAUUGAACUGAAUUGGUUCUGUAGUUCUGAAUAUAAUUUUUUUUUCCAUACAACUUCUUCAUAGAAUUAAUAUAUACAAAAUACAUAAAUAUAUAUAUAGGCACAUAUAUAGAUAUACGUAUUCAUUAGCUAAAUUUGUCCAUAACACUAUAAACUGAUCAGAAUCAGUAACUUUUGGCUUAUCAACUUUUGCAGGUAAAAAAACAGAGAUGAUGAUACAAAAAGGUGAUACAGCAGGGUCUAUGGUUAAGAGCAGGGUCUAUGGAAUUCAAUUAUGAGCAGAAAAUUGGCUAUAAACAGACUGCUCAAAAUACCAUUAGUAAUGCACGCUACCUAUUUCAGUUUGCACUUCAGCUUAGGCAAAUGGGAGCUCCAUCAAUUUGCUGACAGGAUCUAAUUCGGAAGGCUGCUUUCCCUUGAUGUUUUC